AAGUUUAGGUUAAACAAACCAGGGACCUUCAAAGCCCCAAAUAAGAGCCACUCCUAACUUCU
rnacentral:tRNA from 1 species